GAUCGCAGCAGAUGAAAUCAAGAAAAAGGGUUAUAAUUUUUCUCAAUCCAAACUCAUCUUUCUCAAUUCAAGAAUGGAAUUGAUGAAGGGAAAAUUUUAAGGUUUGCUUAAAAUCCACGUUUAUUCUAUUGCAAUUACUACAUACAAAAAUUUGAGUAUUGAUUUCUUGUUCUAUUCACUACCUUCCUAGUACUCCAUCGGUCUCUCUCUCUCUCUCUCUCUGAUUUUCUAUGUGUUUUCUGAGUUUUUGCAUUGUAUUUGAUUUUAAACGGUGUUGAAUUUGUUGUUGGUUAUAGAUGUGGCCAAACCUCAUUCAAAAAUAUAUAGAUGGAGGAUUUUAUGUCAUCCAAACUAUGUUUCUGGAACUUACAUAAACCAGUUAAAGGUUAGGUUCUGUUCUUACCAUUUUCUUUUAUAUUCCUAAGCCUUUCAGCAUUGCAUUGGUAAUGUGUGAAGGAGAAGUUUGCAUUGCUUGCAGCUUUAAUUAGUAGUUAUAAGAAAAGAAAACAAGUGUGUAUUUAAUCUGAAUUGCUAAUUGUUGAAAGCACUUAUAUGCUAUAAGCACUUAAAUAGAAAUAGCUUAUUUU
rnacentral:lncRNA from 1 species